CCUGCAGAGAGAAAGGCCAUAGUUAGUCAAGAGGCCUAAUGAAAAGUUUUACAGUUAAAAUAGAAAGAAAGAAUGUUCAUUGGCGAUAAAUGCCCAAAAAGCAGUCUCUGCCCUGAGUAGUAAAAUUUAGGUGUACCGUCUGUCGAAAAUGCCAAAAAGGAUACCUCCUUCCAGUUUUCCUCCUAAGCGUUCGAAACACACAUGUAAUUGAGACUGUUGUCCGGAGUUCUGUAUUCUGCUUUCUGAAACUUUCCUAAAGCUUCUGGAGGACCACCGAUGUGGGUGGGCAAGCCACAGACAAAAGUGCCUCAAAAUGUCAGUUAAGUGAGACUGAGCCAAAGACAGGAAACCAUUAACUUAAAACACAGCCAACCCUUCAAUAACAAACCUCAAGACGCUUUCCCAUCCUGCAGUUGAGGAUGGCAUUACCCACGGUGCCACAGAACACGUAUGGCUGGGAGGACGGGCAGUCGAUGGUGCCGGAGUGUUGCUUGUAGCUUACCGUCGGUUUGGCUUUCACGAUAGGGAGGUUCUUAGUUGUAACCUCCAAAGCUCAACAGACCCCAGCUUCCCUUUCCUUUGAUCUUACCCAAGCUGGGGCACCAGAUGCAGGAGAAAAGCUAAGAGAGGAGACCACUGGCCUCUGAAGGCAAGUGGUGCAGACAGCACUUGUGACUUUUGGGAGAGUCCCAACAGCAUGGAACGCUCCAGAACUAGAGGUCAUGAAACGGUGCGACCUCUGCUUGAGAAACAGCGGGGGGCCUACUGCGCUUCUUCGGGCUCCUGCAGGAGCUCCCCUGGUCACUGCCCUAAAUUUCAAGAUGGGACUUCGUGUCUGUUCAUGUUUUAAAGUAACACCUCUCCUUAUGUUUUCAUGAUGCACGGGGGAUUCUUGGAUUUGCACCCUGCACAGCAGCAAAGAAAGCCAGUUCUGAACCUUUUUAUCAGAAGGAAGGAGCUGGAGAUGAUGUGACCGUUGCGCAUACUUGAAAACCACGAGGGUGGAUCCUGAGGGAGGAGUUCAUCUUUCCCAAGAACUUUCUAAUUCUCCGGAAUUCCUGUUUCCUACAAUUACUGAGCACCUAUGCUGUGAAAAUCCUCGUGCUAAAUUCCACACCCGAAAAAAAAAAUAUAUAUGGUCCCUGUUUUCAACAGUCUACGGAGGCACAGAAGCAGCUGUGUAGCACAAGGACCAGCAAACUUUUCUGUAAAGGCCAGA